UCUCAAGUAGUUAGUGAAAUAGCUAGCUGCUCCAUCAUAAAAGUCACAAGUUUUCUGUGCCUUCUGGGAAAUACUGACUAGUAUUUCCUGUCCCUGGGGAGCAGCACCCCCAAGAGGGCUGUGUGGCAUGAACUUGGCAGAGUGAUGGAAACCAGAGCCUGGGAGCCACUGCUCUGCCAAGUACCCAGGCUGUGCACAGUGGACACUUAGGAGGGGGUCACUGCUCGGAAGUAGGCGUUUCCUUGGUGGCCACAAACACCAAGGGUUUCUGCAUGUUCACACUGUCAGUUAUUUAGCAAUAACCAGAUUUUU